rnacentral:rRNA from 1 species
UCGAGGGGCAUCAGGAAGAAGCUUGCUUUCUUUGCUGGCGACCGGCGCACGGGUGAGUAACACGUAUCCAACCUGCCCUUUACUCGGGGAUAGCCUUUCGAAAGAAAGAUUAAUACCCGAUGGCAUAAUGAUUCCGCAUGGUUUCAUUAUUAAAGGAUUCCGGUAAAGGAUGGGGAUGCGUUCCAUUAGGUUGUUGGUGAGGUAACGGCUCACCAAGCCUUCGAUGGAUAGGGGUUCUGAGAGGAAGGUCCCCCACAUUGGAACUGAGACACGGUCCAAACUCCUACGGGAGGCAGCAGUGAGGAAUAUUGGUCAAUGGGCGCUAGCCUGAACCAGCCAAGUAGCGUGAAGGAUGAAGGCUCUAUGGGUCGUAAACUUCUUUUAUAUAAGAAUAAAGUGCAGUAUGUAUACUGUUUUGUAUGUAUUAUAUGAAUAAGGAUCGGCUAACUCCGUGCCAGCAGCCGCGGUAAUACGGAGGAUCCGAGCGUUAUCCGGAUUUAUUGGGUUUAAAGGGAGCGUAGGUGGACUGGUAAGUCAGUUGUGAAAGUUUGCGGCUCAACCGUAAAAUUGCAGUUGAUACUGUCAGUCUUGAGUACAGUAGAGGUGGGCGGAAUUCGUGGUGUAGCGGUGAAAUGCUUAGAUAUCACGAAGAACUCCGAUUGCGAAGGCAGCUCACUGGACUGCAACUGACACUGAUGCUCGAAAGUGUGGGUAUCAA